UACGUAGGGUCCGAGCGUUGUCCGGAAUUACUGGGCGUAAAGAGCUCGUAGGUGGUUUGUCGCGUUGUUCGUGAAAACUCACAGCUUAACUGUGAGCGUGCUUCCGAUACGGGCAGACUUGAGGUAUUCAGGGGAGAACGGAAUUCCUGGUGUAGCGGUGAAAUGCGCAGAUAUCAGGAGGAACACCGGUGGCGAAGGCGGGUCUCUGGGCCGUAACUGACGCUGGAGGAGCGAAAGCAUGGGGAGCGAACAGG
rnacentral:rRNA from 1 species